GGGGACUUGGCUCAGUGGUAGAGCACUUGCGAAGCAAGUGCAAGGCCCUGGGUUCGAUUCCCAGCUCCG
rnacentral:tRNA from 1 species